rnacentral:rRNA from 1 species
GAUGAACGCUGGCGGCGUGCCUAAUACAUGCAAGUCGAGCGAACAGACGAGGAGCUUGCUCCUCUGACGUUAGCGGCGGACGUGUGAGUAACACGUGGAGAACCUACCUAUAAGACUGGGAUAACUUCGUGAAACCGGAGCUAAUACCGUGUAAUAUAUUGAACCGCAUGGUUCAAUAGUGAAAGACGGUUUUGCUGUCACUUAUAGAUGUAUCCGCGCCGCAUUAGCUGUUUGGUAAGGUAACGGCUUACCAAGGCCACGAUGCGUAGCCGACCUGAGAGGGUGAUCGGCCACACUGGAAUUGAGACACGGUCUAGAACCCUACGGCAGGCAGCAGUCGGAAUGUUCCGCAAUGGGCGAAAGCUUGAAGGAGCAACGCAGCGUGAGUGCUGAAGGUCUUCGGAUCGUAAAACUCUGUUAUUAGGGAAGAACGAAUGUGUAAGUAACUAUGCACGUCUUGACGGUACCUAAACAGAAAGCCACGGCUAACUACGUG